rnacentral:rRNA from 1 species
UACGUAGAGGGCAAGCGUUGUCCGGAUUUAUUGGGCGUAAAGAGCGUGUAGGCGGCUAUACAGGUCCGCUGUGAAAACUCGAGGCUCAACCUCGAGACGUCGGUGGAAACCGUAUGGCUAGAGUCCGGAAGAGGAGAGUGGAAUUCCUGGUGUAGCGGUGAAAUGCGCAGAUAUCAGGAAGAACACCCGUGGCGAAGGCGGCUCUCUGGGACGGUACUGACGCUGAGACGCGAAAGCGUGGGGAGCGAACAGG